CCUACGGGGGGCAGCAGUGGGGAAUAUUGCGCAAUGGGGGCAACCCUGACGCAGCAACGCCGCGUGAUUGAAGAAGGCCUUCGGGUUGUAAAGAUCUUUAAUCGGGGACGAAUUUUGACGGUACCCGAAGAAUAAGCUCCGGCUAACUACGUGCCAGCAGCCGCGGUAAUACGGGGGACCAAGGCGUUACCCGGAUUUAUUGGGUUUAAAGGUUGCGUAGGCGGAAUGUCAAGCCAGCGGUAAAUUUUCGGGGCUCAACCCCGUCGUGCCGUUGAAACUGGCGUUCUUGAGUGAGCGAGAAGUAUGCGGAAUGCGUGGUGUAGCGGUGAAAUGCAUAGAUAUCACGCAGAACUCCGAUUGCGAAGGCAGCAUACCGGCGCUCAACUGACGCUCAUGCACGAAAGUGUGGGUAUCAAACAGGAUUAGAUACCCUUGUAGUC
rnacentral:rRNA from 1 species